rnacentral:lncRNA from 1 species
AACGCGUAAUUAUUGUGAAAGUGAUAAAUAACGUAAUGGAUAUUUUUUUGAGAGAAAGAUAAUAAAUAUGCUAUCCGUUUCGUUUAUUUAUUUUUUUUUUAAAAAAAAUUAGUUGGAAGUGUAAAGCAAUUAGGUUUUAAACUUGUAACAUUGGAUACCAGCCGUCAAGUCUUUUACCGUUUGCGCUAGGGACGGUCAGUAUAUCACAAUAGAUGUUAAGAUUAUUUCUGAACUAUUUUCGAUAAUUGGAAGUGUAAAGCAAUUAGGCUUUAAACUUAUAACAUUGGAUAUCAGCCGUAAAAUCUUUUACCAUUUGCGCUGGGGACGGUCAGUAUAUCACAAAUAGAUGUUAAGAUUAUUUCUGAGCUGUUUUCGAUCGGGCACGUACAGGUCAGCAAC